rnacentral:rRNA from 1 species
GAUGAACGCUGGCGGCGUGCUUAACACAUGCAAGUCGAACGAUGAAGCCCAGCUUGCUGGGUGGAUUAGUGGCGAACGGGUGAGUAACACGUGAGUAACCUGCCCUUAACUCUGGGAUAAGCCUGGGAAACUGGGUCUAAUACCGGAUAGGAGCGUCCACCGCAUGGUGGGUGUUGGAAAGCUUUAUCGGUUUUGGAUGGACUCGCGGCCUAUCAGCUUGUUGGUGGGGUAAUGGCUCACCAAGGCAACGACGGGUAGCCGGCCUGAGAGGGUGACCGGCCACACUGGGACUGAGACACGGCCCAGACUCCUACGGGAGGCAGCAGUGGGGAAUAUUGCACAAUGGGCGCAAGCCUGAUGCAGCGACGCCGCGUGAGGGAUGACGGCCUUCGGGUUGUAAACCUCUUUCAGUAGGGAAGAAGCGAAAGUGACGGUACCUGCAGAAGAAGCACCGGCUAACUACGUG